rnacentral:rRNA from 1 species
GCUGACGAGUGGCGGACGGGUGAGUAAUGUCUGGGAAACUGCCUGAUGGAGGGGGAUAACUACUGGAAACGGUAGCUAAUACCGCAUAACGUCGCAAGACCAAAGAGGGGGACCUUCGGGCCUCUUGCCAUCGGAUGUGCCCAGAUGGGAUUAGCUAGUAGGUGGGGUAACGGCUCACCUAGGCGACGAUCCCUAGCUGGUCUGAGAGGAUGACCAGCCACACUGGAACUGAGACACGGUCCAGACUCCUACGGGAGGCAGCAGUGGGGAAUAUUGCACAAUGGGCGCAAGCCUGAUGCAGCCAUGCCGCGUGUAUGAAGAAGGCCUUCGGGUUGUAAAGUACUUUCAGCGGGGAGGAAGGGAGUAAAGUUAAUACCUU